UACGAACCGUCCAAACGUUACUCGGAAUCACUGGGCUUAAAGGGUGCGUAGGCCGCGCGGAGGGUGGGAUGUGAAAUCCCCCGGCUCAACCGGGGAAUAGCGUCACAAACCGCCGUGCUCGAGGGAGACAGAGGUGAGCGGAACUGAUGGUGGAGCGGUGAAAUGCGUUGAUAUCAUCAGGAACACCAGUGGCGAAAGCGGCUCACUGGGUCUUUCCUAACGCUGAGGCACGAAAGCUAGGGGAGCGAACGGG
rnacentral:rRNA from 1 species